ACUCCUACGGGAGGCAGCAGUGGGGAAUAUUGCACAAUGGGGGAAACCCUGAUGCAGCCAUGCCGCGUGUGUGAAGAAGGCCUCGGUUGUAAGCANCUUUCAGUAGGGAGGAAGGUAGUGUAGUUAACACCUGCAUUAUUUGACGUUACCUACAGAAGAAGCACCGGCUAACUCCGUGCCAGCAGCCGCGGUAAUACGGAGGGUGCGAGCGUUAAUCGGAAUUACUGGGCGUAAAGCGCAUGCAGGCGGCCUGUUAAGUCAGAUGUGAAAGCCCGGGCUUAACCUCGGAAUUGCAUUUGAAACUGGCAGGCUAGAGUCUUGUAGAGGGGG
rnacentral:rRNA from 1 species